CUUCCACCCGAUUUACAUCUCCGUCGCCGUCCCCAUCUCCUCCUCCUCCCUCCUCACCUCACAGAAAUCGCAUCUACGGAACCCCUCACUCUCUCCUUCCCUGCUGCGGCGCUCGCCUUCCCGCCAUUCCCGCCGCCUCGAGCUUGCACCCCAUCUUCCGAUUCGAGCGAACGGUCUUCUGACUGAAGGAUCUCCUCUCACACGGGUGGAGGGAUCCCUCCUCAUCCUCAUCUCCGUGGCAGUAGAGCCACCACCAGCAAUAACUACCCCGUUUUAGGGUUUGCUCAGGGGUACGCCACCGCGAUCUCCUUGGCGCGGAUUCCGCCCACGACUCCUCCGCUGGCGAAGUUGGCGUCAGCGCCGGUGGCCCCAUCGUCCCGUCCAGCUUCGUGUGACCCCAUGGUGGCAAGAGGGUCUUCGUCACCGGCUUCUUCACCAGGUAAGCGACCUGUUGGCAUUGCCUGCCAGAGGCCACCUAGGAGAAGGUGGUUGAUGUCAAGGAGGGUAUUGCUCUGGCACCCCCCUUUGGCAUGACCACUGGUUAGUGUUAAAGAAAUAUACUGGCUAGUGUGCACUUGUGCUGUUUACAUUUGUAUUCAUGUUUAAUUGACUAAGACAUUUUUGUAAAUAUUCCUGCCAUGCGAUUUGUUCAAACCCUGUUACUGAUAGUUAAGUUUAUACAUGUCAACCGUAUAUUGAUAGCUACUGACUACUUUCCUAUUUUCCAUGCAUUUUUUUUCUUCUUUUUCUGCAGACCCUAUACCUAGAGCAUUUGAAAUACUAAAUCAUAAAUUGCAUAGUAAUAAUCUAUACCUUUUGCUCUUGCAAAAUGAACGAAGGGGGUACAAAAUAAAGGUUAUUCUGUCCUGUGUCAAGUUUGUUUGCUGAAGUUAGAGUAAAUUUUAUAUUACUUUAGAGGCAUGCAUUGAUACGCUAGGCACAACUUUAUAUAUGUUUGUUUCUAAGGCAUUCAUAUUUAACAUAGUUAAACUUAUACUAUUUUAUAUUUGGAAUAGCUCGGGUCGCACCAUAUGCACAUGGAACGACAGUCCUUGGUAUUCAAAUUGAUGCAGCAAGGGGAAUGUAUUGGAGUAGCAUUUCAGAACGUUAAGCUAAGAGAGAGAAAGAGGCCAUCGUGUUAGCUCAUGGCCUCCCUGCCGCCAGAUACGUCUGCCCCGGCAUAGCUGCAACUGGACCUGCCUGCUUGAACUGAUUUCUGCCUCCCCGUAGAUGGAGGAUGUGGGGCCUGGAGGGGACAAUGCCACAGUGAACCAUCUGCCAUGUCUAUUCGGAUCUCUGAACAAGUGACAAAGACAACCACAUCAGGUACGAGUGGUGUUUCUCUCUUACAAGAACUCCAGGAAGAUGUUCAAAGAAGCCAGUAGCCCCACCCAGCAAAAAUGAUGUACUUUUAGCUCUAGAUUUUAGAGCUAGCAGCAGUACUGUGAUUGAUAAACAAAUACAAUAGAAUCUCCUUUUCUAUUAUUUGAAUUUUUUUUUUCAUUUGUUUACCUUGUCCAUUUGAAAUAUUGGUUAUUUACUGUACUAUGG